UACAGAGGGUGCGAGCGUUAAUCGGAAUUACUGGGCGUAAAGGGUGCGUAGGUUGUUAAAUAAGUCAGGUGUGAAAUUCCAGAGCUUACCUUUGGACAGUCGCUUGAUACUGUUUAUCUAGAGUACUGUAUAGGAUGGGGGAAUUUCCGGUGUAGCGGUGAAAUGCGUAGAUAUCGGAAGGAACACCAGUUGCGAAGGCGCCCAUCUGGACAGAGACUGACACUGAAGCACGAAAGCGUGGGUAGCGAACAGG
rnacentral:rRNA from 1 species